GUUGAGAGGGUUGGAAUUAUGGAGGUUGGAGAGGUUGGGAGAUAGGUAGGGAGACAGGUUGAGGUAUAAAGAGUGAAUGGGAGAAAGAGCUGGUUCUGGGAGGGAAACAGCUUCCGCUCUAAGCAUAUUGUGAAGGACAGAAUGUGGUGUCCUGUAGGAGGAAUAGACUGGAAUUUUACUGGGAGGCAGAGGUUGAGCCAGGAGAAGUAGGAGCUGGAAAGGAACAGCCUACUUGGGACUCUAGUCUGGAGGGGAGAGAUUCUUCUAAGGAAAAGAAUAAACUCCCAGACUCAGUGAAGGGAGGGGGUGUGGAGAGCCCUUUGUUCUGAGGACAAAUUCAAGAGAAAUCACACUGUAUUCCUGAAGCAACCUAAGUUGAAUCCCUUUGAGUGAUUUACUAUCUUGCCUUAAAUGAAUCUUUAUUGUUUAUUUAAAGAAAACCAGUCUGAGACUCCAACUUACUAGUUACCCCCUCACAAAGAUCCCACGCAGGAUUCUCUGGGCUAAAAUUUCAAGGGGAAAGGGAAAGAGACCUUUGGGUAAAGGGUUGUUCAGUGAGGUGGGGGGCAAUUUAAGUGAGAGCGGGCCCAACGGCGUGAGAGGGAAAAGUGCUGUCGUGCCUGUCUCAGCUGGGUCCCAAAGUGGAAGGGAAAUAUGCAAACUUUUGCUUUUACUUCAAAGGAGCGAAUAACCGAAAGAAGAAAGGAAAGAUACGCACUUGGGGAGGAUCCAUAGUUUACAUGAUUUGCAUGCAAAAGACUCUAGGUUCACUCUCCAGCAUCACCAGAUAGGGCUGGCAAAUAACCCUGUCUGAAACUUGGGACAACCACAGUUGGGACUGGCAGCAAGGAGCAGGUCGUGAAAUGAGAGGAAGUGCUCCUUCAGAUAGUUGGGGCCCAAGUCAUUUAGGACUCUUUAUACCAAUAGCAGCCCCUUAAAAUGGACUAGGCAAUGAACUGUUAACUAGUGCAGCCCCUUUAAGAAAGGAUGUGAACUCACUGGAAGUAUGCUUGGAUGACUGGAGGUCUGCCAAUUUUCAACAAGCUUCUGCAGCUGUGCUUGUAAACCUGGGCUAGGCAGCAAGGAGCAGAUGAUAUUUAUCUUCAUGCCACACGUGGAGCCACUUUUAAAGCCCCAGCUGCAGAGGCUGGUUAAAAAGUUGGCCACCCUAAUUUCAGUCACAGCUGACUCAGGGCAUGUGCUCACUAAUCAACAUUUGCCGAUUUUUGUCUCUCACUUAGCAAAACCAAGAUUCUGCUAGGGAUGCAUAUAACACAGAGAGACCUGCUGGACUAUUAAGAACAAAGAAAUGAAUAAGGCUGCAACAUUUAAUUUGCUUCCUGUGCUUUUUGAUCCAUGUUGACCCACUUGAGGGGGGGGGGAAUCAAAAUCCAUAAUUGGGCCAUACCAUUAUUACAA